CACAACCACGCUGCCGGGUGGCUUCGCUACUGAAACCAAGGAGCGACGGCAUAGAGCGAAGAGGAGGAGAUGGAGCUUCGGGGACGCCGAGGUUGCUUGCGACCGGUUCCAGGAGGCCCUCAUCCUCGUAACCAAUACAGAAGCCCUGCGGCAACUCAGCCAUGAGGCGAGCGACGAUCGCCUUUGUGUCAGCUGCUGCUGUCGUCUCGACCAUAGGAAACCCAGGUUCUCAACCUUCUAGUACGCCAACGUGGCGGCCGUGAUGACGUCAAUGCAAACCAUCUAUAAGAAGGCGCUUAUCUCCAAACCUAUGAACAAUGCAAAGACCAGCGUUCCAAUUAAACUUGCACGUAUAGCUUGCAUGCUCCACUCAC